rnacentral:rRNA from 1 species
GUGGGGAAUAUUGCACAAUGGGGGAAACCCUGAUGCAGCGACGCCGCGUGGGCGAGGAAGUACCUCGGUAUGUAAAGCCCUAUCAGCAGGGAAGAAACAGGACAGUACCUGACUAAGAAGCCCCGGCUAACUACGUGCCAGCAGCCGCGGUAAUACGUAGGGGGCAAGCGUUAUCCGGAUUCACUGGGCGUAAAGGGAGCGCAGGCGGCAUGGCAAGUCUGAUGUGAAAACCCGGGGCCCAACCCCGGGAGUGCAUUGGAAACUGCCAGGCUGGAGUGUCGGAGGGGUAAGCGGAAUUCCUAGUGUAGCGGUGAAAUGCGUAGAUAUUAGGAGGAACACCAGUGGCGAAGGCGGCUUACUGGACGACUACUGACGCUGAGGCUCGAAAGCGUGGGGAGCAAACAGG